AGAGACGCUUCUGCAAGUGUUUUUUUCCCACAGAGCUGCUUGUUGGGUUCAUGUGUUUUUUUUUUUGUAAUCAUUUCAUGUCUUGUCUCAAUAAGGUAAAAUAAGUAAAGAAACAGCAGUUAAUUGGCUGGUCUGAAAGCUCCUCCUUCAGUCUCUCCUCUGAUAAACAACAUGAAGGUUCAAGACUGACGACAACAUAAAGGAGAGACUUAAGGGAUUCUUGUUCUUUAGAUUUUCUGACUCACUUUCCAGUUAACCAUGGAGUCGACCGACAACUGGCUGUCUAUGGUGAAAAAAUUGUUAAAAACCAGUCCACUGGGAGCCACUGUAGGUUUUGGAUUUAUCCAGGUGAUACUGGAGAAACUGGUGGAAGCAGAGUUUUCAUGCCCUUGUCACUCUAGUUACAACCAUGGAUAUGGUUUAGUAUUUUUCAUUGCUCCAUCACUUAUAGUCUUUUUACUAAUGUGUGUCAUUAGUUAUUCGCUUAAGUUAUGGACAUGUCCGUGGACAUGGACAUGGACAUGUCCGUGGACAUGGACAUGUAAAUCAAUCUGGGAAGCCUUAAUUAUCAUGUUGGUUCCAGCCGUAACAUGGUUGAUAAUAGUGUUUGUUGAUGGUCGUUAUUACGCCUGUGCAAAGACCAACUGGAACGGAAAGUAUGAACUGAUUGAGAACGCUGCUCCUCAGAAAUGGUGUAAACCAUCAAACUCAUCUCUAGAGCGAGACUCACUGACCGACACCCAGUUCUGGUAUUCUGAAUCACAGCUCAUUGGAUUCUGCACAGCAGCUGGGCUGACCUUCAUUUAUGUGGGUUGUUUUUUCUGCUCCCGGUGCUGUUCAUCCUCACCAGAAAACAGAGGGAACCCAGUGCCUUUAGAAGAGGUCUAGAUGGAGCCCAAAAAUUCUUAAAAGAAAUUAAGAAAUGUAUGCAUGCAUUUAAUUAUUGAUUAAGAAUAACAUUCCUGGCAGGAGAAACAUUUAGUAUAUUUUACUACCUUUGAAAAAGGUUUUCUGUAUAAAUAUGUUUGUGUCACUUUCAUGUAAAAUGAUUUAUUAUUUCUUACUGUGCAACUCAAAAUUCCAGUUUUGUUUUGUAGAUAUCUUACUCAGAUGUGUUGAUAUAAAAAUACUAUUUUAAUCACAAUUCCUUUUACCUGAUAUCUCAUUAUGUACAGAUGGGAUUUUUGCAUUUCUUUUUUGAUUCUUACAACUUAGUUUUGGUUUAAUGUUUUUCAUCUUCUGAUUGAAUUAUCAUUAUUUAGACAUGACUGUUCGGUUUGUUGGCUACUAUAAAAUGUCAUCUUAGAUAUUUUUGACUAAAAUGUCUGACGUGUGUAAUGAAAGAUUAUUUGUAAUCAGGUUCAGGUUUUAACUUUCACAUCUAACCUUUUAAGCAUUUUAUAUAUUAUUCAAGUGUUUUAUGAUAAAUAACUAUUUGUUCAAUAACAAUGUGAGGACAGGAAAGUCUGUGAAUCCGGGUGGAGGGUCAGUUCCAGUAAGUAGUGGGUUAUUUUGUGCAUCAGCUCAGGAAAACAGACCUGCAGCUGAAGAGGUGAACAGAUUCUAGGGGAAAUGUUAUUGUGUGAUGAUUUGGGCAGAUAGUCUCUGUUGUUGGGGUAAAAUCUCUGAUCACUUCGGGUGUUUUGCUGUCAGAUGUUCUGAGAUGUGUGAUCCCAACAAUAUAUCUUUGUAUUCAAUAAAUAUGAUUAAUUUUA